CCUACGGGUGGCAGCAGUGAGGAAUAUUGGUCAAUGGACGAGAGUCUGAACCAGCCAAGUAGCGUGAAGGAUGACUGCCCUAUGGGUUGUAAACUUCUUUUAUAUGGGAAUAAAACGUUCCACGUGUGGGAUUUUGUAUGUACCAUAUGAAUAAGGAUCGGCUAACUCCGUGCCAGCAGCCGGGGUAAUACGGAGGAUCCGAGCGUUAUCCGGAUUUAUUGGGUUUAAAGGGAGCGUAGGUGGAUUGUUAAGUCAGUUGUGAAAGUUUGCGGCUCAACCGUAAAAUUGCAGUUGAAACUGGCAGUCUUGAGUACAGUAGAGGUGGGCGGAAUUCGUGGUGUAGCGGUGAAAUGCUUAGAUAUCACGAAGAACUCCGAUUGCGAAGGCAGUUCACUGGACUGCAACUGACACUGAGGCUCGAAAGUGUGGGUAUCAAACAGGAUUAGAUACCCCAGUAGUC
rnacentral:rRNA from 1 species